AAUAACACAAACGAAUUAAAAUCUCAAAUAAAUCUGAUAUGUGUUAAGAAAAUAUUUUUGGAUUUUACAGAUAUCAAAAAGAAUUUAAAAUGAACUAAAAACUAUUGAAAACAAAAUAAUUCACAAAAUAUAUUUAAUGAAGUCAUAAAAAUAAUUAAAAAUCAGAAUAUGAAACUAGAUUUUUCAAGAAAAUUUUUGCCAUUGGUCUUAUAUUUUUGUGACUUCAAAUAAAAUAGUUAUGAAUUUUUGAAAUAAAAAGGAAUUAAAAGAAAAUAAAACAGAAAAUAGAAAAUAGGAAAAAUCAGCGCCCAUUGAAUUGAAUUCAUUAAUUGACGUGGCUAUAUCCAAAGGCUCAGAGGCGCGGUCUCACCAUGGUCUUGGUCAAGCGCGCAACAUGAGGUAUUAAAAUAAGUUAAACACAUGCACGACCAUGAUUAGAACAAAUGAGAGAGAUCCAAAGGCUUGGAGUCAUCCACGUGGGGAUGGUGGUGGAAACCACCAUCUUCUCCGCCCAGUUAACAACUUCCGG
rnacentral:lncRNA from 1 species